GACGAAGCCGUGCGAACGUUGUUCGGAAUCACUGGGCUUAAAGGGCGCGUAGGCGGACUGCCAAGUCCGGGGUGAAAUCUUUCGGCUUAACCGGAAAAUAGCCUCGGAGACUGGCGGUCUGGAGGGGGUAGGGCAGCUGGAACUUCCGGUGGAGCGGUGAAAUGCGUUGAUAUCGGAAGGAACGCCGGUGGCGAAAGCGAGCUGCUGGACCUUUCUGACGCUGAGGCGCGGAAAGCCAGGGGAGCAAACAGG
rnacentral:rRNA from 1 species